UACGGAGGGUGCAAGCGUUAUCCGGAUUCACUGGGUUUAAAGGGUGCGUAGGUGGGCAAGUAAGUCAGUGGUGAAAUCUCCGGGCUUAACCCGGAAACUGCCAUUGAUACUAUUUGUCUUGAAUACUGUGGAGGUCAGCGGAAUAUGUCAUGUAGCGGUGAAAUGCUUAGAUAUGACAUAGAACACCAAUUGCGAAGGCAGCUGGCUAGACAAAUAUUGACACUGAGGCACGAAAGCGUGGGGAUCAAACAGG
rnacentral:rRNA from 1 species